GACGAACGCUGGCGGCGUGCUUAACACAUGCAAGUCGAGCGGAAAGGCUCCUUCGGGGGUACUCGAGCGGCGAACGGGUGAGUAACACGUGAGUAAUCUGCCCUUGGCUUUGGGAUAACUACCGGAAACGGUGGCUAAUACCGGAUACGACCACUCCUUGCAUGAGGUGGUGGUGGAAAGUUUUUUCGGCCAGGGAUGUGCUCGCGGCCUAUCAGCUUGUUGGUGGGGUAAUGGCCUACCAAGGCUUCGACGGGUAGCCGGCCUGAGAGGGUGACCGGCCACACUGGGACUGAGACACGGCCCAGACUCCUACGGGAGGCAGCAGUGGGGAAUAUUGGACAAUGGGCGGAAGCCUGAUCCAGCAACGCCGCGUGAGGGAUGACGGCCUUCGGGUGGUAAACCUCUUCUAGUACCGACGAAGCG
rnacentral:rRNA from 1 species